GCGCCCGUAGCUCAGCGGCAGAGCGGCCGGCUCAUAACCGGUUGGUCGUGUGUUCGAUGCACACCGGGCGCACCA
rnacentral:tRNA from 2 species